ACGGGAGGCAGCAGUGGGGAAUAUUGGUCAAUGGGGGCAACCCUGAACCAGCGACGCCGCGUGAGUGAAGAAGUAUUUCGGUAUGUAAAGCUCUAUCAGCAGGGAAGAUAAUGACAGUACCUGACUAAGAAGCACCGGCUAAAUACGUGCCAGCAGCCGCGGUAAUACGUAUGGUGCAAGCGUUAUCCGGAUUUACUGGGUGUAAAGGGAGCGUAGGCGGUUUGGCAAGUCUGAUGUGAAACCCCGGGGCUUAACCCCGGGCAUGCAUUGGAAACUGUCGGACUAGAGUGUCGGAGAGGAAAGCGGAAUUCCUAGUGUAGCGGUGAAAUGCGUAGAUAUUAGGAGGAACACCAGUGGCGAAGGCGGCUUUCUGGACGAUAACUGACGCUGAGGCUCGAAAGCGUGGGGAGCAAACAGGAUUAGAUACCCUGGUA
rnacentral:rRNA from 1 species